rnacentral:rRNA from 1 species
CAAUAGCGUAUAUUAAAGUUGUUGCGGUUAAAAAGCUCGUAGUUGGAUUUCUGCUGAGAACGACCGGUCCGCCCAUUGGGUGUGUAUCUGGCUCUUUCUUGGCAUCUUCUUGGUGAACGUUACUGCACUUGACUGUGUGGAGCGCUACCCAGGACUUUUACUUUGAGGAAAUUAGAGUGUUUCAAGCAGGCAUACGCCUUGAAUACGUUAGCAUGGAAUAAUAAGAUAGGACCUCGGUUCUAUUUUGUUGGUUUCUAGAGCUGAGGUAAUGAUUAAUAGGGAUAGUUGGGGGCAUUCGUAUUUAACUGUCAGAGGUGAGAUUCUUGGAUUUGUUAAAGACGGACUACUGCGAAAGCAUUUGCCAAGGAUGUUUUCAUUGA